CAGAGUAUCCAGAAGUUGGUAAUAGAUCAUCAUGAAUGCAAGAUCUAUCUGUUGCAAAACAUUGCGAAAGAGAUCUAAUGUUGGUGACUGGGGCAAGCUGCCAAGCAGAUUGGUAUAUGCUAAUUGAAUACCUUGUUGAAAAAUUUUCAAGCUAGAAAGCUGCUAGUCUCAAGUAUUGCCAACAACUAACAGUAUGAAAUAAAAAAUGGAGAGUCCGUAUCUCUCUAGAACCACAUGUAAACAAGGUAGUGAGAAGAGUUUGAAAGGUUUACGAGAAUGCCUUCAGUGGAAAGUAUGGAAAGUAGCUAAAGGAGAAUUAUGUAGACUAAGAUUCUUGCUUCUUGAAGCUAAUAAACUCAAGCAUUGGGCAGGCGGUGGUGAUUUGCUAUGUCUCAAGUGGUUAGUCUUGAGAUGUUAUUGUUUGGAAAAGUUCUCUUGGUGUUUAACAGAAAAUUUGAACCUGCAGUCAAUUAAGUUGGAUUGCUAUGACCCUUCCAUUGUUGCUUUUGCUAAGUAGAUUCAAGAUUGGCAAGUUGGAAUAGGAAAUUCCAUUUUUGAGGCCAUUAAAGAUGACUUAGAGCCCAAUUUCACUUGCGGAUUGUGCAGUAAUCCCAUCAUUUUGGAUAAUCUUGACUAUAUGGAAGGGCUUGAGAAGCUAAUGAUUUCAGCUGUACUAUAACUCUUCAAAUCAGUCUAUGUUUCCUUUCCUAGUGGGGAAGUUAAGAUUCAGUAGGCUUAAUCUCUUUGAGAGACAUUUAACAGUAAUUGGCAUGUUGCGCCAGCUUAAGGUGCUCAAUCUAGAAAGUGCUUCCCAUGGAAAAGUAUGGGAAGUAGCUGAAGGAGGAUUCCAUCAAUUAGAAUUAUUGCUUCUUGAAGCUAAAAACCUGGAGCAAUUGAAGGCUAAUAAAUAUUCCUUCCCGCAUCUCCGGUGCUUAUGUCUAAGACUAAGUUAUUGUUUGGAAGAGAUUUCUAGUAGUUUUUCAUAUAUUUUGCAGUUAAUUGAGGUGAAACAGUGCAACCCUUCUGUUGUGCCAAGCAGAUUCAAGAAGGGUUGCAUUCAUUACAAUGAAGAAUGUUUGAGAUCAAAAUCGAUGGGCUUGAAUAUGGACAAUCACCAUAUCCACAUGUACAAGAGGACUUAGCAGAGAUCAUAGUGAAUAACUACCAUUUGAAAAUGGUAUGUACACAGAAACAUAUCUGCUAAACAAUUCCAACAUACUAUAAGAUCUAUUAUAAAACAUGACUGGCCCCGGGGCAUAGCUUGGUGGAUGAAGACUGAGUUUGCGGUAAUAUCCAGGGGUCAGUGUAAAAACUCAUAUCACUGAUCUGUAAAAAAAUAUAUUUGGCAUUCCUUAACGCAGCCAAAUGUUUCUCAUUUGCAGAGUAAGCAAAAUAUGCUAAUAGAGUGGUGAGGAGUAGAGGAAAAGAUUGGCACAACUUUAUGAAAUUAAAUAGAAAAAGGUUUUGAAGCUACUUGGAGGAGAAAUGUAUUGAAAUUUCCUUGUUUUGUUGAGAUGAAUAUGUAUCUGUUACAUACAAGAAGUUUCAUGUGAUACUUAA